rnacentral:sRNA from 1 species
AUCAUUUUAUACAUCUAUUCUUUUCUAUCAAAUAUCUAGCCUCUCUCUAUUCUGCAAUAUGACAUCUGAUUGCUGUAUCUCUCAUUAUUCUAAUUGCAUUAUAUGAUCUAUUGAUAAGUUCUUGUCAAUCAAAUCUUGUUGAAAGUUAAUCUGACUGUGAAUUGAUGACUUUUGCAGUUGCUAACUGUUGUUAGCUUCUAUUUUUUAUUAUCAGAGUAUAUAUCUUAUUUAUGAUUGUUUCAUCUUCUCUUUCAAUACUCUUUCUAUAUGCAAUCUCACUUCUGUUGAGGAGAUCACCUCCAUCAAUGUUGUGGAGACAGAGUGCAAUGAUGAUGAUGUCAGUGAAGCAGUUGAUAAGAGUGUAGACAGUGAUGAUAGUGUUUGUAAAGAUGCUGAAAUGAUGAAUAUCUCUGUAUUAUUCUCUAUCACUAUCUCUUCUACUUUUAUUUAUAUCUCUGUUUUCUCUGCUCUUACUGAUUCUCUUUUUCUCAUCUCUGUCAAUCUCUCUCUUUUCUUUUAUGCUGA